CCUGGCUCAGGACGAACGCUGGCGGCGUGCCUAAUACAUGCAAGUCGAACGAACCGCGACUGAGUGCUUGCACUUGGUCAAUGUGGGUGGCGAACGGGUGAGUAACACGUGGGUCACCCAUCUCAUAGUGGGGGAUAACAGUCGGAAACGACUGCUAAUACCGCAUAGGACAUGGAAUCACAUGAUUCUGUGAGGAAAGGUGGCGCAAGCUAUCGCUAAGAGAUGGACCCGCGGUGCAUUAGCUAGUUGGUGGGGUAACGGCCUACCAAGGCGAUGAUGCAUAGCCGACCUGAGAGGGUGAUCGGCCACAUUGGGACUGAGACACGGCCCAGACUCCUACGG
rnacentral:rRNA from 1 species